UGUAAGAGAAAAUAAGGAAGGCUGCGUUAAAGCCAGACAGAAAUUUGCUAGAACUUGCUAGAACCUUGCCUCACGAAUAGGUAAGAGAGCACCAUCAGGACGGGAAAUCAAUCAUUCUCCUUACAGUGUGACAGGGUGCUUGCUAUGGACUCAAUUGUGUCUCCUCAAGAUUCAUAUGUUGAAGUCCUAACCCUGCAUGUCAUGGUAUUUGGAGGUGGGGCCUUUGGGAGGCAAUUAGGUUUGGAUGAAGUCAUGGGGGUGAGGCCUCUGGGACGGGCUCGGGGUCCUUAGGAGAAGAGGAAGAGACCAGAGCUCUUUCUCUGCCGCCCCCGUGUGCGGACCCCGCGAGAAGGCAGCUGUCUGCAAGCCAGCAAGGGAGAACCCGACCGGGCUGGCCCCACCGAGUCCACGCUGUUUUGUGAUGGCAGCCUGAGCUGCCCAUGACGCUGUUCAGGGACCAACAAGUGAGCUCUGAGAAAACAGUGAAAAGAUUUUCGGUGCUUUGAAAUAUACCUUUCAAUUGUCUUGCCCAGAGCGUCCCACUGUGCUGUAUUUGAAAGGGCACGAGAGACUGAGAACCACUGGUCUGGAGGAAAGGGACGACCACAGAGACAGGACUCUUCCGUGCUUGAAGCCGGAGACAGAUAAUUGGAUGGCACACGAGCACACAGGGGGACAUUUGGACACAGACACCUGCCCACGAGGAGAGCACCAUGUGAUGAUGAAGGCAGAGAUCAAGGCGAUGCAUCUACAAGCCAAGGAAUGCCAGAGGUGGCUAGCAAACCAGCAGGCGCUAUGAGAGAGGCCUGCAACGGAUUCUCCCUUGCAGACCCUCCCUCAGGAGGAAGCAGCCCUGCGGGCACCCUUAUCCUGGAGGUCUGGCCUCCAGAACUGGAAGACAAUACAUUUCUGCUGUCUAA